CUACACAUGCAAGUCGAGCGGUAGCACAGAGAGCUUGCUCUCGGGUGACGAGCGGCGGACGGGUGAGUAAUGUCUGGGAAACUGCCUGAUGGAGGGGGAUAACUACUGGAAACGGUAGCUAAUACCGCAUAACGUCGCAAGACCAAAGUGGGGGACCUUCGGGCCUCAUGCCAUCAGAUGUGCCCAGAUGGGAUUAGCUAGUAGGUGGGGUAACGGCUCACCUAGGCGACGAUCCCUAGCUGGUCUGAGAGGAUGACCAGCCACACUGGAACUGAGACACGGUCCAGACUCCUACGGGAGGCAGCAGUGGGGAAUAUUGCACAAUGGGCGCAAGCCUGAUGCAGCCAUGCCGCGUGUGUGAAGAAGGCCUUCGGGUUGUAAAGCACUUUCAGCGGGGAGGAAGGCGAUAAGGUUAAUAACCUUGUCGAUUGACGUUACCCGCAGAAGAAGCACCGGCUAACUCCGUGCCAGCAGCCGCGGUAAUACGGAGGGUGCAAGCGUUAAUCGGAAUUACUGGGCGUAAAGCGCACGCAGGCGGUCUGUCAAGUCGGAUGUGAAAUCCCCGGGCUCAACCUGGGAACUGCAUUCGAAACUGGCAGGCUAGAGUCUUGUAGAGGGGGGUAGAAUUCCAGGUGUAGCGGUGAAAUGCGUAGAGAUCUGGAGGAAUACCGGUGGCGAAGGCGGCCCCCUGGACAAAGACUGACGCUCAGGUGCGAAAGCGUGGGGAGCAAACAGGAUUAGAUACCCUGGUAGUCCACGCCGUAAACGAUGUCGAUUUGGAGGUUGUGCCCUUGAGGCGUGGCUUCCGGAGCUAACGCGUUAAAUCGACCGCCUGGGGAGUACGGCCGCAAGGUUAAAACUCAAAUGAAUUGACGGGGGCCCGCACAAGCGGUGGAGCAUGUGGUUUAAUUCGAUGCAACGCGAAGAACCUUACCUGGUCUUGACAUCCACAGAACUUAGCAGAGAUGCUUUGGUGCCUUCGGGAACUGUGAGACAGGUGCUGCAUGGCUGUCGUCAGCUCGUGUUGUGAAAUGUUGGGUUAAGUCCCGCAACGAGCGCAACCCUUAUCCUUUGUUGCCAGCGGUUCGGCCGGGAACUCAAAGGAGACUGCCAGUGAUAAACUGGAGGAAGGUGGGGAUGACGUCAAGUCAUCAUGGCCCUUACGACCAGGGCUACACACGUGCUACAAUGGCAUAUACAAAGAGAAGCGACCUCGCGAGAGCAAGCGGACCUCAUAAAGUAUGUCGUAGUCCGGAUUGGAGUCUGCAACUCGACUCCAUGAAGUCGGAAUCGCUAGUAAUCGUAGAUCAGAAUGCUACGGUGAAUACGUUCCCGGGCCUUGUACACACCGCCCGUCACACCAUGGGAGUGGGUUGCAAAAGAAGUAGGUAGCUUAACCUUCGGGAGGGCGCUUACCAC
rnacentral:rRNA from 1 species